rnacentral:rRNA from 1 species
UACGAAGGGGGCUAGCGUUGCUCGGAAUCACUGGGCGUAAAGCGCACGUAGGCGGAUUGCUAAGUCAGAGGUGAAAUCCUGGAGCUCAACUCCAGAACUGCCUUUGAUACUGAGGAUCUUGAGUAUGGGAGAGGUGAGUGGAACUGCGAGUGUAGAGGUGAAAUUCGUAGAUAUUCGCAAGAACACCAGUGGCGAAGGCGGCUCACUGGCCCAUUACUGACGCUGAGGCACGAAAGCGUGGGGAGCAAACAGGG